rnacentral:tRNA from 1 species
GCUCAGCUGGGAGAGCGCUUGCAUGGCAUGCAAGAGGUCAGCGGUUCGAUCCCGCUUACCUCCACCA